rnacentral:rRNA from 1 species
UACGUAGGGUGCGAGCGUUGUCCGGAAUUACUGGGCGUAAAGAGCUCGUAGGUGGUUUGUCGCGUUGUUCGUGAAAACCUGAGGCUUAACCUUGGGCGUGCGGGCGAUACGGGCAGACUGGAGUACUGCAGGGGAGACUGGAAUUCCUGGUGUAGCGGUGGAAUGCGCAGAUAUCAGGAGGAACACCGUGGCGAAGGCGGG